UACGGAGGGUGCAAGCGUUAUUCGGAAUCAUUGGGUGUAAAGCGCGUGUAGGCGGCCAAGUAAGUCAGAUGUGAAAGCUCUCGGCUUAACCGGGAAAGUGCAUUUGAAACUGCUUGGCUUGAGUCCCGGAGAGGAAGGUGGAAUUCCCAGUGUAGAGGUGAAAUUCGUAGAUAUUGGGAGGAACAUCGGUGGCGAAGGCGACCUUCUGGACGGUGACUGACGCUGAGACG
rnacentral:rRNA from 1 species